UAUUGCUCUUCAACGAGGAAUCCCUAGUAAGCGUAAGUCAUCAGCUUGCGUUGAUUACGUCCCUGCCCUUUGUACACACCGCCCGUCGCUACUACCGAUUGAAUGGCUUAGUGAGGUCUUCGGAUCGACGAACGAUGAGUAGCAAUACUCGUCGAUUGUUGAAAAGUUGAUCAAACUUGGUCAUUUAGAGGAAGUAAAAGUCGUAUCAAGGUUUCCGUAGGUGAACCUGCGGAAGGAUCAUUAAUGAUUUUUUUAAGCAAACCGAGCGAAAGCGAGGUUUUGCGAAUAUAUAUUUAAAACCCCACUCUUUACAAAGGAAAAAAUUUUCAUACUCAUAAAUGAAUAAAAAAAAAGAUCACUUUCAACAACGGAUCUCUUGGCUCUCGCAUCGAUGAAGAACGCAGCGAAAUGCGAUAAGUAGUGUGAAUUGCAGAAUUACGUGAAUCAUCGAAUCUUUGAACGCAAAUUGCACUCUCUGGUAUUCCGGGGAGUAUGCCUGUUUGAGGGUCGCUUAACAAACAUCGAUUUCAUCGUUUUUUUUUUUAAAAGAGUGAUGUUUAUCGGAUUUGAGCCGUCUUUUUUUUAUAWAUCAWAUAUAUAUUUAAAAGUGGUUUAAAAUUGAUUUUUCUGGUAUGAUCGAAGCGUAUUUUAUGAUCAAUUUUUAGUUAAAGAAACGCACGCGUACCUUCAUUCAUAUGAUGUAAUACGUUUGACUAUCGGAUUUAGUUCAUUCGUAUACGAUAUUUUUCAAAUUUUGACCUCAAAUCAGGUAAGAACACCCGCUGAACUUAAGCAUAUCAAUAAGCGGAGGAAAAGAAAAUAACAAUGAUUCCCCUAGUAACGGCGAGUGAAGAGGGAUAAGCUCAAAUUUUAAAUCUGAUCGGUUCUACUUAUCAGAAUUGUAAUUUGAAGAAACGUUUUCUGCGUCUUGAAUUAGCCUAAAUCUUUUGGAACAAGGUAUCAUGGAGGGUGACAAUCCCGUUCAUGGUUAAUUUUAAGGUGCUUUACGAUACGUUUUUAAAGAGUCGAGUUGUUUGGGAUUGCAGCUCAAAAUGGGAGGUAAAUAUCACCUAAGGCUAAAUAUUUGCGAGAGACCGAUAGCGAACAAGUACCGUGAGGGAAAGAUGAAGAGAACUUUGAAAAGAGAGUUAAAAAGUAUGUGAAAUUGUUGAAAGGGAAACGAUUGAAGUCAGUCGUGCAGUCAUCAAUUCAGCGGUUAACAUUUUUAUGUUUCCGUGUAAUUUGGUGUCUGUUGGUUAGCAUCAAUUUUGAUUGUUAUAAAAAGGUUAAGGGGAUGUGGCUCCUUCGGGAGUGUUAUAACCCUUAGCGUAAUGUGACGAUUAGGAUUGAGGUUUGCAACGAAUACCUUUUAGGGCAGUUUCGCUGGCCUCUCGCGGAACCAUAGAGUGUAAGAGCAUGCUCUUACACUCUAUGCGUUCUGCGAAAAGGUUGGAUGAAACUAAUUCGUUAAGGAUGCUGACGUAAUGGCUUUAAACGACCCGUCUUGAAACACGGACCAAGGAGUCUAACAUGUGUGCGAGUGUU
rnacentral:sRNA from 1 species